rnacentral:rRNA from 1 species
CAGCAGCCGCGGUAAUACCGGCGGCCCGAGUGGCGGUCACUAUUAUUGGGCUUAAAGCGUCCGUAGCCGGGGUGGGAAGUCCUCCGGGAAAUCUGGCCGCUUAACGGUCAGAAUGCCGGAGGAUACUCCCAGCCUAGGGAGCGGGAGAGGCCGAGGGGAUUCCCGGAGUAGGGGUGAAAUCCUAUAAUCCCGGGAGGACCACCUGUGGCGAAGGCGCUCGGCUGGAACGCGUCCGACGGUGAGGGACGAAGGCCAGGGGAGCAAACCGGAUUAGAUACCCGGGUAGUCCUGGCUGUAAACGAUGCGGACUUUGUGUCGGACAAGCUAUGAGCUUGUCCGGUGCCGGAGGGAAACCGUUAAGUCCGCCGCCUGGGGAGUACGGCCGCAAGGCUGAAACUUAAAGGAAUUGGCGGG